CCUACGGGAGGCAGCAGUGGGGAAUAUUGCACAAUGGGCGCAAGCCUGAUGCAGCCAUGCCGCGUGUGUGAAGAAGGCCUUCGGGUUGUAAAGCACUUUCAGUAAGGAGGAAAGGUUAAGUGUUAAUAGCACUUAGCUAUGACGUUACUUACAGAAGAAGCACCGGCUAACUCCGUGCCAGCAGCCGCGGUAAU
rnacentral:rRNA from 1 species